CUCUGCCUUCAGGCUGUUUGUAGAGAGUGCACAACCUUUAUGUUGUUUACUGUCUGUGAGGACAGAAAAUUUAAAAAAUGAUCAGACUCCUGAAGUAAAGUCUGUCUGUUUCGUGCCUAGGAGACCCACAGAGGAUUUAGUGAUUCUACGUCAGAGCCGGGUGCCUUGGAAGUUAAAGGAGCUGUUCCAGCCUGGUUCACUUUUAUCACUAGAAUGUCCUUGGCAAUCCUCAGACGUUUCCAACGGAUCACAGUGGAGAAAAAUCUACACUGACAAUUUGAGCUUGGAUAUACAUGAAGUGAGGAUCCUCUUCAAAUUGGCUCACGACAGAUGUCGUGUUUGUUUAAAGUUUUGUUUGGAGCCUAAACCAAAUGCAUUAACAUCAAAAGCAGACCAACACCUUUUAACCCUCCACAGUUUUCUCAGGCCUGUGGGUCCAACUGUUUUUUAUAUCAGUUAUAUCACAUUUUCAGCCCUCUUCUAAAUUGGUUUAUCUGUCUUUGUGAAUGCUUGAAUUUCUGUUUCAUCCCCUGUGAGACUGAUACUCAUGGGAAUAGCUGGAAAUCUUCAGCAGAUGAAAAGUGCAAUGCCCCCGUGGCGAUGCUCAGACUGGCUGGCUCUGCCUUUGUCCCUGUGACUCACUGUCAUCACAGUCAUCGAGACUUCCCUGAUCCGCCGUCCCUCUCCAAGCUUCUGUCUGGAGCCGUGCACAGCUUAAACCCUACUUGGGUUUGACUACAUCUGGGUUGUCACCGCUUUCCAAAGUAAAAUGCACUGGAUUCCAAGAGCUGACUUACAGUUAGCCGUCCUCAAAACUUUCCCACUGCUUGAGCCAGCAAACAAACAAGAACAGGACCAAACGUUCUGCAGAUGAAGCCAAAACUUCUCUCUUUAAGUGAAAUAUGAUCCAGAUUAUUCUGGAGCUUUAAUUCUUUUAACACGUCUGUUUUAUAACUCAGUGCUACAAAUCUGAGGGAAACGAGAUGUGUAGACAGUGUAUAAUCUGAUAUGUCAUAGUUUAUGGAAAUCUAAGAGAAAUCUUGACGUUUCCUGUAUAUUUUCCAUGAAGACUCUUCAUUUUGAUGCAGCUCUCCUCCUUUAUCCUGUCAUACUGAUUUGAAGUAAAACUAACUGCUGGCCACUGAAGCUGCAGUGGAAAAGCAGCAAUGCUAUUGCAGAAGGACCAUCUGAUUUGUGGUUACAAUUUAGUGAUUUAUAAUCUGGCUGCUCCCCUGCAGGGUGUCGGGGUGUCUCCUUUCUUUAAUUCUGUCUCACAGGCCACUGUAAAGUCAAGGAAGUUCCAUGGGAGCUGCUACUUCAACGACUUCUCAUCUACAAUUGGUCAUUUCUUAUCUAAACUCUUUCCUUCAAGCUUAGAAGUCAAUUAGAACAAGGAAGUUGAGAAGACGUGACCACAUUUGAUCUGACCCUACAGUGUGAAAAAGAUCUAUUCUUACGGUGUUAAUUCCUUUGAUCAACCACUUAACUCAAGUAAUUUAGGAAACUGGAUCUAUUUCCUGCAAGGUAAAGAUCACCUGAAUCACAUUAUCAGUAAACUGUGAUUGUGAAGCAGUUUGGGUUCAGUGUAGCGCUUUAAACAAUCAAAUGCAAAUGUUGUAUAUAAGAGAUACACCUCAGGAACAUCUGGAAAUUUGUUAUGUUUGGUGCAAAUGUUCAUGUUGACUGAAGGAUGGACUGGAGUUUGGUGGCCAUAGGUGAAAAAUAAAGCUCAUUGUGACUUUACAAAAUGUGUUUUCAGCCAUAA